GGAGGAGGAGGACUCGAGUGGAAGAAGAGAAGAGGGCAGGGAGGAGCUGCUGCUGCUGAGGGAAGUAGGUGCUGCCGGUUUGUUGGGCCCCCGGGAAUCUGAACGGGCACGUUAAGGAGACCAAGGAGACGGAACGUGCCAACCAUCCCAUCGUUUCAAUAAUCAAAUGCUCACAGUGGAGAAUCACUGAAGAAGAAAUUGCACGGUGCUCCUACGUACCCAUCCAUACGUGCAAGGUCGCUUUCAAGCAUAAGCUAGCAAUGGCCGGCCGGGAAGACGCAUAUAUUGAUAUAAUGAACAUGUAAAGCAGUCCCUUUAUUUCCACGGAGACGAGGACGGAGGAGGAGGAAAACGAGGAGAAUAGAGAAGACGCGUGAGCAAUUGGAUCUAGAUCCAACGGUCCAGAAAUUCCGACUUUGUUUCGUGAAAAAAGAAUAGCUACUUGACAAAAAAAUAUGGGCCCCUUGUGUCAGGUGCAUGCAUCCGGCCGGCGGGGCAUGUUCCCGUCUGGAUUGACCAGGUGUUAGCCGGGUCAUUGGUUACCUAAACGCGCAGCUAAUCAUAA